rnacentral:rRNA from 1 species
UACAGAGGGGGCAAGCGUUGUUCGGAAUUACUGGGCGUAAAGGGCGCGUAGGCGGCCUGCUAAGUCGAACGUGAAAUCCCCGGGCUCAACCCGGGAACUGCGUCCGAUACUGGCAGGCUUGAAUCCGGGAGAGGGAUGUGGAAUUCCAGGUGUAGCGGUGAAAUGCGUAGAUAUCUGGAGGAACACCGGUGGCGAAGGCGGCAUCCUGGACCGAUAUUGACGCUGAGGAGCGAAAGCCAGGGGAGCAAACGGG